rnacentral:rRNA from 1 species
GCAUAUCAAUAAGCGGAGGAAAAAGAAACUAACAAGGAUUCCCCCUAGUAACUGCGAGUGAAGCGGGAAAAGCUCAAAUUUAAAAUCUGGUGGCCUUCGGUCAUCCGAGUUGUAGUCUGGAGAAGCGUCUUCCGCGCUGGACCGUGUACAAGUCUCUUGGAACAGAGCGUCGUAGAGGGUGAGAAUCCCGUCUUUGACACGGACUGCCAGUGCUUUGUGAUGCGCUCUCAAAGAGUCGAGUUGUUUGGGAAUGCAGCUCAAAAUGGGUGGUAAAUUCCAUCUAAAGCUAAAUAUUGGCGAGAGACCGAUAGCGAACAAGUACCGUGAGGGAAAGAUGAAAAGCACUUUGGAAAGAGAGUUAAACAGUACGUGAAAUUGCUGAAAGGGAAACGCUUGAAGUCAGUCGCGUCGUUCAGAACUCAACCCGGCCUCGCGCUCGGUGCACUUUCUGUUCGACGGGCCAGCGUCAGUUUUGAUCGUCGGAGAAAGGCCCUCGGAAUGUGGCACCCUCGGGUGUGUUAUAGCCUUGGGUCGUAUACGACGGUUGGGACUGAGGAUCGCAGCACGCCUCACGGCCGGGGUUCGCCCACGCUACGUGCUUAGGAUGCUGGCGUAAUGGCUUUAAACGACCCGUCUUGAAACACGGACCAAGGAGUCUAACAUGCCUGCGAGUGUUUGGGUGGAAAACCCGAGCGCGCAACGAAAGUGAAAGUUGGGAUCUCUGUCGCGGAGAGCACCGACGCCCAUACCAGAGCUUCUGUGACGGAUAUGCGGUAGAGCAUGUAUGUUGGGACCCGAAAGAUGGUGAACUAUGCCUGAAUAGGGUGAAGCCAGAGGAAAACUCUGGUGGAGGCUCGUAGCGAUUCUGACGUGCAAAUCGAUCGUCAAAUUUGGGUAUAGGGGGCGAAAGACUAAUCGAACCAUCUAGUAGCUGGGUUCCUGCCGA